GAGUUUGAUCCUGGCUCAGAGCGAACGCUGGCGGCAGGCUUAACACAUGCAAGUCGAGCGGGCGUAGCAAUACGUCAGCGGCAGACGGGUGAGUAACGCGUGGGAACGUACCUUUUGGUUCGGAACAACACAGGGAAACUUGUGCUAAUACCGGAUAAGCCCUUACGGGGAAAGAUUUAUCGCCGAAAGAUCGGCCCGCGUCUGAUUAGCUAGUUGGUGAGGUAAUGGCUCACCAAGGCGACGAUCAGUAGCUGGUCUGAGAGGAUGAUCAGCCACAUUGGGACUGAGACACGGCCCAAACUCCUACGGGAGGCAGCAGUGGGGAAUAUUGGACAAUGGGGGCAACCCUGAUCCAGCCAUGCCGCGUGAGUGAUGAAGGCCCUAGGGUUGUAAAGCUCUUUUGUGCGGGAAGAUAAUGACGGUACCGCAAGAAUAAGCCCCGGCUAACUUCGUGCCAGCAGCCGCCGU
rnacentral:rRNA from 1 species